UUGCAGUACGUUUGCAGCCAGACUUAUUACCAUUGCUUUUCCUCAUCCCCAUAAACAUUAACAUUUUUCAAUACCUCAUCAAUCCACGGGGAUUUCACCGUUUUUACAGUCAUUUUCUUAACCUCAUAUCUCGGUCACCCCAGCGUGAGUUUUUUAUGCAAUUUUUUUAAGGCACGCUGCCUGCUUUUAUUUAUAGGCUGUUUUUUAACUUGUCUAUUUCAAAUUAUUUUCUUACAAGUUUUAUUUUCUAAGAACAGUUUGAAUUGAGGUGUGUUCUGCCUCAUUAAUUCACAUAAAAGUAAGCCAUUUGACUUUUGCGGACAAUACAUUUUUUGGCCAUUACAAACUUUCCCAAACACUUCCCCAUUGUUUCCGCAGAUCAAGUAUGCAGACAUUUGCGCAUCUCCAGUUAGAACAGGACCUGCACAAAGUUUUUCACAUUUUCCGGGCUGGUGCCCACUUCCACUUCAUUGUUGUUUUCAUUACUACAUGAUAAUAACUUUGGACAUGCAUGAGGUUCAAUCAAAAAACCACAAACAUUAUUUGCCAAUAUCAUAACUGGAGCUGGACAUCUUUGGAGCUGAAGAAUGAGGACAGUUUUUGUAUGCUAACGUACACUCCUUAACAGUUGUACUGGAUGAAAACACAGCAAGAAAAACACAUAGGCCUAUAUGUAUUUUAUUGAAGCAUUGGUUGAACAAAAACAACUUGUUUUACUAGAGGAAAAAAAACUGCAAGAAAAGACUGAUAACUUAUGAAUAUGUAUAACCCAUGUUUCAUAUUCCGUAAUUGCUGCAGAUGUGCUCAAUAGUGCUUGGUCAGUUAGGAUCACCACUUCAUUUUAAGAAUGUGAAAUGUCAGAAUAAUAGUGGAGAGAAUGAUUUCAGCUUUUAUUUAUUUCAUCACAUUCCCAGUAAGUCAUAAGUUUACAUACACUCAAUUAGUAUUUGGUAGCAUUGCCUUUAAAUUGUUUAACUUGGGUCAAACGUUUCGGGUAGCCUUCCACAAGCUUCCCACAAUAAGUUGGGUGAAUUUUGGCCCAUUCCUCUUGACAGAGGUGGUGUAACGGAGCCAGGUUUGUAGGCCUCCUUGCCCUCCUUACACCAGCUCUGAAUUUUACAAACACUUCAAACUCAGUAUGUGUCAUGAUGUUUUGAUAAACGUGUAAUUCUCUCUCGGACAAGGUGGGGUUUAUCAAUAUAUUCACCUCAACUUACUUAAAAAAAUGUGAAAUGCUAAUUAGGAACAGAGAAGACCUCAGCAAGACUACAAUUUCCUGCAGGAAGCUUCUGCCUUUCAUCUCUAGCUGACAAAUUUACCGUUCACCAGCGUGAUUAAAGACCUUUGCCCAAUCCCUGA